rnacentral:lncRNA from 1 species
UGGUAACUAGAUGAAGAUUCCUUGAGAUGGAGAAUUCGUUGGAUGCUUUUGAAUAUUCAUUUUGUAAUAGUUAAGCAAAAAAAGUAAAAGAUUUCAUGAAUCCUGCAUUUCUUAUUUCUUCGGAAGGAUGGACUUCAUUUGAGAAACCACUUUCACGUCAAUUUCACUAUCAUUUAAUAUAUCUUUAAUUGUGACUCAUAGAAAUGGCGAACUUAUGAUUGGGAUAAGAUCUGAAACUAAGUGAGAGAAAAAUCCUUCUCCAGAACGAAUGUUCCUAUCGAUCAUCACCGAAGUAGUACCUUCUUUUAAAAACCACUAUAUCAGAAUAGUCCUCCACGUCUUCUCGAUUACCACAUCAGAACACUUUCUUCCUAAGAUUUCGGAAAUGUUAUUAUUAUGUAAUCAGUUGAUAUUAUUAUUAUUAUUAUGUAAUCAUUGAUAUUAUUAUUAUUACUAGGUUUAGUAGUUGAAGAUAUAGCUAUUAGCUAUACCAAUCAUAGCUAUUAUGAGGCAUUUCUAUUGGCAGUUUGGCAUACUAAAGCAGUUUAGAGGUUGAAGAUAUAGCUAUUAGCUAUACCAAUCAUAGCUAUUAUUGGCAGUUUGGCAUAAUAAGGCAGUAGUAGAUACAAAAUAAUAAUAAUAAUCAUUAUUCUAAUUAUGAUUUCUAAUAUAACAUAAUAGUACAUAGCAAUAAGAAAUAAAUUCAGAUAUAGUAUUUUGCAAAACUAAGACAUUUCGUUCUAUUAUAUUAUGAAUAACAUAUAGUAGGGCUGAUUUUUUUAAUAUAAUUAUAUAAA